GGGUUGUGAGGUUAAGCGACUAAGCGUACACGGUGGAUGCCCUGGCAGUCAGAGGCGAUGAAGGACGUGCUAAUCUGCGAUAAGCGCCGGUAAGGUGAUAUGAACCGUUAUAACCGGCGAUUUCCGAAUGGGGAAACCCAGUGUGAUUCGUCACACUAUCAUUAACUGAAUCCAUAGGUUAAUGAGGCGAAC
rnacentral:rRNA from 3 species